rnacentral:lncRNA from 1 species
UCUGCGAUAUAAAGACAAGAAAGAAAUAAUCCCCAGAGAGGCUGUGUUCUAUUGGAGGACACAACUUGUGGAUAUGAAAUAUGUAGAGAUGAUUCAGAGAGGCAGCAGCAGCUGAAGGACUUGGAGAAUUCAGGAAAGGCUUCUGGGAGAAGGUGAUGCAUUUACACAGACAAGUCUUUGUUGGAACAGUUAUAGAGAAGACUUGGAUUUUACAUUUUUCUCCUACUCUACCAUCUUUGCAGAUCUCCCUGGCUAAGCAGAUUGGGAAUUUAAGGAAGAACCAAAAGGAGAAUUAUAGUUCAUUUUAUAGAUGAGGAAACUGAAGGAAACCAAGUUAAGUGACUUGCCCAAGGUCACACCAUUAAUUGGUUUCUGAGAUCAAGAUUUGAACUCCAGAAGAGGAAUCUUCUUGACUCCAGGACUGAUGCUCUAUCUACUGUGUUACUUCAAGUAAAUUCACUUGGGGGAAGGAGAACAGAUGAUAGGGUGAGCCAUCUGACCUCAAGCGCAGCCAUGUUGGGAAAAGCUCAUUCUUCCUUGGGGGUUGGUGAGGAAGGUAGAGUUUGGCUUGGAAAUGCCAUAAUUGUGCCCUAUGCCACCUUAGGGAUGGUGGCAUAGGGACAACUGAACGCCAUUGUUCACAGUGGAUAAAAUGCUG